UACGGAGGGAGCUAGCGUUGUUCGGAAUUACUGGGCGUAAAGCGCACGUAGGCGGCUUUGUAAGUUAGAGGUGAAAGCCUGGGGCUCAACCCCAGAAUUGCCUUUGAUACUGCAUGGCUUGAAUCCAGGAGAGGUGAGUGGAAUUCCGAGUGUAGAGGUGAAAUUCGUAGAUAUUCGGAAGAACACCAGUGGCGAAGGCGGCUCACUAGACUGGUAUUGACGCUGAGGUGCGAAAGCGUGGGGGAGCAAACAGG
rnacentral:rRNA from 1 species